GGUUGUGCCCACUCGGCACGACCCAGGUUCCAUGCUACAGGCCUCUACUUGUCCAGACCUGAGGGUCAGAUUCAGAUGGUGCAAAUGUUUAAGACCUGGGUCUUCAACGAGAUGAAUUAUCAGCUAUUUCAUAGCUGCAGUGUUGGAUAUGCCGAGACGAUAAAAGCAACAGCAAUCAGAAUCAACAGUUGAAACGACAUGGCAGACGCUGUGAAUGCUAUGAACUGCUGUGCUGAGCAGCAGGAUUCCUGUGUCCUGGCGCAAUGCCCAUGGGGAUUCAUGCUUUCAGAGGGUCACGCCUCAGGAACACGUAGAAGGGCAAGCAUUUCAUCUGGCAGGGCACUGAUUUAAUCUGCACGCAUGUUUGGCUGUAAAACUAGCUCCUCCCCCUUACCAUUUUUGAGUCGCUGCCGGACUCAAAUUCCACAGAUUCUGGAAGGUGUCCAGGAACUCGUUGAUUUGUCAAACUUAUGGCUACACACAGCUGGAAUGGAGACGGACUCCACUGAGGAGACUCAUACAGGACAGGAGGGAAUUUUAAGAGGAUAACCCUGAGAUUGAAAACAUCAAACCAAACCUGAAGCACUGAGAGGUUGGGUAACCAGCUCUGGUCACUGAGUUGGUGAGGGAUGGAUUCAGAAGAGGUCUCCAAUUGUGACACCGCAGAGGACCUGCUCUUGGCCACUACACUCUACCAGCUCUGCAAGAAGGGGGAAGAAAAUAGGGCUGUUUUGAGGAGAUGUGGCUGAGAAAACAGAAAAAGAGAAUUACAGGCCUGAAAUCCCAGCACUCUGGGAGGCUGAGGCCCCUGGCGCUGGUUCUCUCUGGAGGUUGAGUUUCCGUGGGGAGAGAAGAGUGCCCAGCGUGACCACCGUUGGCUGACUUCCCAUGCCUUAUUCCUUGUUUCCCCCGCUGGGGCCCAGCCCACCAGCCCCGCAGUGCAUGAAGCCACUUAUCACCACGGUUCCCAGAGAGGACGGGCUGGCCCAAGUCUGCAUUGUCACCUGCUCUGGGGAAAACAAAGCCCUCUCCCCCGCCCUCCCCGCAGCAUGCUGGGCACAGGGCCAGCCCGUUCUAUGUUUUCAGUAAAUUUUCAAACAUGCUGGUUUUGGUGGCAGCUUUUGCAGUGAUUAUCUCAUUAGGGGCUUGGCCCUGAAACACCUUAUUUAUUGUGGAUUGAAAAAAGUUCACCUUUUCAAGCAAAAAAAAAAACAAAAAAAAACAAACAAAAAAAAAACAGAAGAAAGAAAUAAAAGAACCAGACUGUAGUUUCCCUGGAAAAUUUUCGCUUGUGGGAAAAUACCUCCCCGGCCCGUAGAGAGACGCCAUCACCAACAGUGUGGAGUUAUCAGAUGGGACUGGUCCAGCUUUGUGGGGCCGGGGCACACAGUGCCAAUGUCCAGGUAGUUUCCAAACCGUGUUUUGUUUCCUCUGUCCUCUUUAUAAACCCACGGAUUGAACCUCAUGGGCCCACAAGUUCCUGAUUGCUUCGUAUAUAUUGUACAGAUUUUUUCAGGAAAAUAAAAUAGAUCUUGCUCUACCCUGACAGAGCAGGGCCGAUAUUCUCUAGAAGAGAGGAGAACUCUAGAAUGGAUGGCAGCACUCUGAGUGUGUAACCCAAACAGCAUGCUGAAAUAGUAAAACUCUGCCGCAGGGGCAGAUGGCUGCUGGGAGAAUAUUUAUAGCAGGGAUCUAGAAAUAACCGUAAGGGAAAAGCCUUCUGAGGAGGAACGGAACAAGAGUCUUCGGGGUGGCACUUGGAGACACUCUUGCUCUUGCCUGAGGUCCUGGAGGGCUGCAGGCCGACCGCUGCACGGGAGAGAAUAUACGUGGUAUUCACAGGGUACACAGAAGUCAUAAUACUUCAUGUAGAUCUGUGCCACACAGAUGUGAGAGCUAGGACUUGGAAACAGGAAGAGAAGUGGGAGGAUGAUUAGGAGCGUAAUUGGUAAAUGUAGUACAGUCAAGGCAGACGCUGUAAAAGGACCGGGCACUGCAGAGCUGCAGGACAAGAGCCUGGGGACACGACAGUCAACCAGCCCGUGGGCAUCAUGGAAACAGCACUUUGCAGGCACCUGAGUGAAGCACAGGAAGGAAAUGCAGACACAGGUGAAGGAGCACGGGGUUGGGUUAGAGCCAGGCAGCAUCCCCCCAGCCGCUCCAUGCUAAAGCCUUCAUCGAUUGCCCAGAGAGUGGGGGUUCUCAGUUAACGUUGGAACCAUACAGCAAUGAGGCCUGGGUACUACUUGUAAUUUUCUGUUUAUUUCUAACUUUAUGAACUGCGUCAAGUAUACUUCCUAGCAUGGGUUCAGUAUUUUGCAACAAAUCUUUCUGCCGUGGAUAUAAAUUCAUGAGCUUCAGGUUUCAUUAAAGAGAAGUACACAAAUGAAGUACCCAGACUAACAUUUGAAAAUUUAAUUUUAUGUUUGUUUUUAUUUUUUAAGGGACAGGGUUUCACUAUGCUCAGGCUGGACUCAAACUCCUGGGCACAAGUGAUCCUCCUGCCUCAGCCUCCUGAGUAGCCGGGACCAUAGGCACACACCACCACGCCCAGCUCAAACUAACAUUUGACUGCCUUGUGAAAUAUUACCUAGUCACUAUCCCAGGUCCCUGACAGCAUAGACCAGCAAAACAUUAGAAUGACACCAGACCUAUUAUAACUGCAAGCCAUGAACAGGAUUUCAAGAAAAGAGAUGGAAGAAUGUUCAGAUUCCUAAAAAUCUUCUUAAAAGAGAACUCCUAGCUUUCCACAAAAUUCACUUAAUUUCUUAAGUGAUUUUUAUCUUUUAAAAGCACAAUAAAAAGCAAUCAGAUGUUGUGUGUCUGUGCAUCUGUACAGCAGUAAAGGUAUCUCUCACAUGGCAUUAAAAAAAAGGCAAACAAAUCCAACACACCACUAGAACUCAAAUUUGGAGAAAAUAGCUGCAGGAAAAAAUUGCGCUGUGUGUAUAAAGGUUUUUUUUAAAGAGUGUCUUUUCCUGAACUGACAUUUCCAUUCUUAGUUUUUUGGUUUUGUUUUGUUUUGUUGUUGUUUUGAGACG
rnacentral:lncRNA from 1 species